AAGUUUGCACAGUGCAGCAUCUUGGCCAAUGAGGUUAACCUGAGGCAAAAUUAUUGCUAAUUAAAAAUUAUCUUCUUUCCCAUAAACUUUAUAUGUAUAUUUGAGUUAUAAAAUAUAGUAUGUUGU
rnacentral:snRNA from 1 species